rnacentral:misc_RNA from 1 species
UCUCCGUAGGUGAACCUGCGGAAGGAUCAUUAUUGUAUAACCGAGGUGCGAGGGCUGUCGCUGACCCGAAAGGUCGUGCACGCCCGAGUGCCCUCACACACAUCCAUCUCACCCCUAUGUGCACCACCGCGUGGGUCCCCCUUUGGCUUGUUCGGAGGGGGGCUUACGUUUUCACACAAACUUUGUAUGCAGAGUAGAAUGUAUUUUUUGUUUUUGCGAUCACGCAAUCAAUACAACUUUCAACAACGGAUCUCUUGGCUCUC